rnacentral:rRNA from 1 species
AUUGAACGCUGGCGGCAGGCCUAACACAUGCAAGUCGAGCGAGCGGCGGACGGGUGAGUAAUGUUUGGGGACUGCCCGAUCGAGCGGGAUAACUUCUGGACACUGUCUCUAAUCCCCCAUACUAUCGCUUACCCCAUAUGGGAUUUGCUAGUAGGUGGGGUAAAGGCUCACCUAGGCGACGCUCACUAGCUGGUCUGAGAGGAUGAUCAGCCACACUGGGACUGCGACACGGACCAGACUCCUACGGAGGCAGCAGUGGGGAAUAUUGCACAAUGGGCGCAAGCCUGAUGCAGCCAUGCCGCGUGUAUGAAGAAGGCCUUAGGGUUGUAAAGUACUUUCAGCGGGGAGGCGUGAAAGGAAGAAGAAGCAACGGCUAACUCCGUGCCAGCAGACGCGGUAAGAG